CCUACGGGGGGCUGCAGUGGGGAAUAUUGGACAAUGGGGGCAACCCUGAUCCAGCCAUGCCGCGUGUGUGAAGAAGGCCCUCGGGUUGUAAAGCACUUUCAGUGAGGAAGAACGCCUGGUGGUUAAUACCCUUCAGGAAAGACAUCACUCACAGAAGAAGCACCGGCUAACUCCGUGCCAGCAGCCGCGGUAAUACGGAGGGUGCGAGCGUUAAUCGGAAUUACUGGGCGUAAAGCGCGCGUAGGUGGCUUGAUAAGCCGGUUGUGAAAGCCCCGGGCUCAACCUGGGAACGGCAUCCGGAACUGUCAAGCUAGAGUGCAGGAGAGGAAGGUAGAAUUCCCGGUGUAGCGGUGAAAUGCGUAGAGAUCGGGAGGAAUACCAGUGGCGAAGGCGGCCUUCUGGACUGACACUGACACUGAGGUGCGAAAGCGUGGGUAGCAAACAGGAUUAGAUACCCCUGUAGUC
rnacentral:rRNA from 1 species